AUGCUACUCCCUCCGCCCGAAAAUAUUUAUCAUCAAAAUGAAUAAAAGGGGAUGUAUAUAGAUGUAUAUUAGUUCCGGAUACAUCUUUUUUUAUCAAUUUUGAUGACGAGUAUUUUCGGACGGAGGGAGUAUCAA
rfam:Triticum aestivum genome assembly, contig: Triticum_aestivum_CS42_TGACv1_scaffold_515783_6BS